rnacentral:rRNA from 1 species
UUUUUUUUUUUUUUUUUUAACCCGCAGACGAACGCUGGCGGCGUGCCUAAUACAUGCAAAGUCGAACGCUUCUUUUUCCACCGGAGCUUGCUCCACCGGAAAAAAGAAGAGUGGCGAACGGGUGAGUAACACGUGGGUAACCUGCCCAUCAGAAGGGGAUAACACUUGGAAACAGGUGCUAAUACCGUAUAACAAUCAAAACCGCAUGGUUUUGAUUUGAAAGGCGCUUUCGGGUGUCGCUGAUGGAUGGACCCGCGGUGCAUUAGCUAGUUGGUGAGGUAACGGCUCACCAAGGCCACGAUGCAUAGCCGACCUGAGAGGGUGAUCGGCCACAUUGGGACUGAGACACGGCCCAAACUCCUACGGGAGGCAGCAGUAGGGAAUCUUCGGCAAUGGACGAAAGUCUGACCGAGCAACGCCGCGUGAGUGAAGAAGGUUUUCGGAUCGUAAAACUCUGUUGUUAGAGAAGAACAAGGAUGAGAGUAACUGUUCAUCCCUUGACGGUAUCUAACCAGAAAGCCACGGCUAACUACGUGCCAGCAGCCGCGGUAAUACGUAGGUGGCAAGCGUUGUCCGGAUUUAUUGGGCGUAAAGCGAGCGCAGGCGGUUUCUUAAGUCUGAUGUGAAAGCCCCCGGCUCAACCGGGGAGGGUCAUUGGAAACUGGGAGACUUGAGUGCAGAAGAGGAGAGUGGAAUUCCAUGUGUAGCGGUGAAAUGCGUAGAUAUAUGGAGGAACACCAGUGGCGAAGGCGGCUCUCUGGUCUGUAACUGACGCUGAGGCUCGAAAGCGUGGGGAGCAAACAGGAUUAGAUACCCUGGUAGUCCACGCCGUAAACGAUGAGUGCUAAGUGUUGGAGGGUUUCCGCCCUUCAGUGCUGCAGCUAACGCAUUAAGCACUCCGC